CUGAGAGGUUGAUCGGCCACAUUGGGACUGAGACACGGCCCAGACUCCUACGGGAGGCAGCAGUGGGGAAUAUUGGGCAAUGGGCGCAAGCCUGACCCAGCAACGCCGCGUGAAGGAAGAAGGCUUUCGGGUUGUAAACUUCUUUUAUUAGGGACGAUAAUGACGGUACCUAUUGAAUAAGCUCCGGCUAACUACGUGCCAGCAGCCGCGGUAAUACGUAGGGAGCAAGCGUUAUCCGGAUUUACUGGGUGUAAAGGGCGUGUAGGCGGGACUGCAAGUCAGAUGUGAAAACUAUGGGCUCAACUCAUAGCCUGCAUUUGAAACUGUAGUUCUUGAGUGCUGGAGAGGCAAAUGGAACUCCUAGUGUAGCGGUGAAAUGCGUAGAUAUUAGGAAGAACACCAGUGGCGAAGGCGAUUUGCUGGACAGUAACUGACGCUGAGGCGCGAAAGUGUGGGGAGCAAACAGGAUUAGAUACCCUGGUAGUCCACACCGUAAACGAUGGAUAGUAGGUGUGGGGGGUCUAACCCCCUCCGUGCCGCAG
rnacentral:rRNA from 1 species